rnacentral:pre_miRNA from 1 species
CUUGUACUCCCUCAGUCCAGAAAUACUUGUCAUUGAAAUGGAUGUAUCCAGAUGUAUUUUAGUUCUAGACACAUCCAUUUUGAUGACAAGUAAUUCUGGAUGGAGGGAGUACUUG